rnacentral:rRNA from 1 species
UGCGGGGGGUGCGAGCGUUGUCCGGAAUCACUGGGCGUAAAGGGCGCGUAGGUGGUCUGAUAAGGGUGUGGUGAAAGCCCGGGGCUCAACCCCGGGUCGGCCGUGCCGACUGUCAGACUAGAGUGCUGUAGGGGCAGGCGGAAUUCCGGGUGUAGCGGUGGAAUGCGUAGAGAUCCGGAGGAAGACCGGUGGCGAAGGCGGCCUGCUGGGCAGAUACUGACACUGAGGCGCGACAGCGUGGGGAGCAACAGG